ensembl:lncRNA
GAAAAAAACAACACAUGCAUCAUGAGAAAAAGGUUUACUGUGCCCUGGGAACCCCAACCAGCGACGAUGGAGAUAUUUGGUCGAUUGAAAACUGGCAGAGGGAUCCGUUGGAGAGUGGCUUGGCCUUCGGCGUGGCUGACCUCACCAAGAGGUCCGAAUUGCAGCAGUUUCAACAACUCGUGGGGAAAAGCUCAGGGAAUAAAGCAGACAUGUUUAUUGGACUCAUGGGUCGAAGGUCCUCAAGUCGAGAGUCACAGGAGGAAUGGAACAAGCCCCAGUAUUACUAGAGAUGAAGAUAUGAACUUGAUUGUUCAAAGUUACUGUAAUAAUCAAUGUUGCUCAAAUUAUUAAUCUAGGUCAAAGCAAUCCAAUACAUGCAACAAAGCUUAAUUGAUGUAACAUAAGUAAGGAAUGUGUAAUGAGGGUCAAAAAUUAUUUGACCCGUGUGUUUAAAAACUGUGUCAGGGAUUUGCUGCAACUAAUUGACAUUGUAUGCCGUAUCAUUCUGUACUCUCCUUUGUAAUACAAGCUGCUUGUCAUGUUCAAUCAACUAUUCUGUUGUUGUCGCAUAAUAUUAGAUGGCUUGUUAUGCAUACAAACAGGUAUAUUUGUCUAACUUAAGAUAAUUCACGUGUCAUCACUGAGAGCAUUACUGAACUUCAAGAUUCAUUCAUAGUGGAAAAAACUAUUUGCUUUUCUGUGCUUCAUAUGAAAUGCUGAUCAUUUGUCAGUGAACCCCUACACAUGCUGCCCCAGAAAGAACACCUUGCACACAGGAUCAAGACAUUUUGGAGUUCAGAUUUAUUGGAGAGGAAGCAAGUACAAAAGCAGGUGCACACAACUUAUCUACAUAUUAAUGCUGUACAGAGGUACUGCUGUGUAGCUACAGUGGUCUACUGCUCUUUUGAUAGCUUAUUGAAGAACAACUGCUUGUAUGAAGGUGAACAUUAUGACCACGCACACUGGUUUCAGGUAAACCGAGCUGUUCUGGAGUUGCUUUCUAUAGCUGCCAUGACAGGCACAGGAGGAAGCAUCAAGACAACACAGACCACAGCAACAUGUUGGGAGGCAGAGGUAAAGGAGAAUUGUUUUGGGG